rnacentral:rRNA from 1 species
AUGGUCGACCUGCAGGCGGCCGCGAAUUCACUAGUGAUUCGUAUUACCGCGGCUGCUGGCACAGAGUUAGCCGGUGCUUAUUCUGUCGGUCGUCAAGGCAGCAAAGUAUUAAUUUACUGCCCUUCCUCCCAACUUAAAGUGCUUUACAAUCCGAAGACCUUCUUCACACACGCGGCAUGGCUGGAUCAGGCUUUCGCCCAUUGUCCAAUAUUCCCCACUGCUGCCUCCCGUAGGAGUCUGGACCGUGUCUCAGUUCCAGUGUGACUGAUCAUCCUCUCAGACCAGUUACGGAUCGUCGCCUUGGUGAGCCAUUACCCCACCAACUAGCUAAUCCGACCUAGGCUCAUCUGAUAGCGCAAGGCCCGAAGGUCCCCUGCUUUCUCCCGUAGGACGUAUGCGGUAUUAGCGUCCGUUUCCGAACGUUAUCCCCCACUACCAGGCAGAUUCCUAGGCAUUAAUCACCCGUCCGCCGCUCUCAAGAGAAGCAAGCUUCUCUCUACCGCGACUUCAUGUGUUACUGCCGCCAGCGUUCAAUCUGAGCCAGGAUCAAACUCUAAUCGAAUUCCCGCGGCCGCCAUGGCG